UCGAAGUAUCCAGCUUUCUUGUCACAGC
rnacentral:sRNA from 1 species